rnacentral:rRNA from 1 species
GAUGAACGCUGGCGGCGUGCCUAAUACAUGCAAGUCGAGCGAACAGACGAGGAGCUUGCUCCUCUGACGUUAGCGGCGGACGGGUGAGUAACACGUGGAUAACCUACCUAUAAGACUGGGAUAACUUCGGGAAACCGGAGCUAAUACCGGAUAAUAUAUUGAACCGCAUGGUUCAAUAGUGAAAGACGGUUUUGCUGUCACUGAUAGAUGGAUCGACGCCGCAUUAGUUAGUUGGUAAGGUAACGGCUUACCAAGGCAACGAUUCGUAGCCGACCUGAGAGGGUGAUCGGCCAAACUGGAACUGAGACACGGUCCAGAUUCCUACGGGAGGCAGCAGUAGGGACUCUUCCGCAAUGGGCGAAAGCUUGACGGAGCAACGCAGCGUGAGGGAUGAAGGUCUUCGGAUCGUAAAACUCUGUUAUUAGGGAAGAAAAAAUGUGUAAGUAACUAUGCACGCCUUGACGGUACCUAAUCAGAAAGCCACGGCUAACUACGUG